CAAUAAAGGAAGCACGGUAAUAUGCACAUAAAUUGAAUUGGGUCCCUAGGCCAGCCGUCUUUGAUGCCAUUCGGCUUUGAUUUGAGGGCAUGGUUCCACAGCAAAACA